AGACGAGGWUCCCACUGUCCCUAUCUACUGUCUAGCGAACCCACAGGCAGGGGAACGGGCCUGCACUAAACAGCGGGGAAAGAAGACCCUGUUGAGCUUGACUCUAGUCUGAUAUUGUAGAGAGACAUCAGAGGUGUAGCAUAAGUGGGAGGUCGUCUCGCGCGGCCGACAGUGAAAUACCACUACUCUGAUCGUUUCUCUACUUACUCGGUGAGACGGAAUCGGAGCUUCCCCACGCGGGACUGUCUCCUGUUUCUAGCCCUAAGCGGCGGAAGGGCGAUGACCGACCGACUACUGCCGUUGUUCGGUUCAGUUCCUCGUCCGCCUCUCGUGGGCGUGUGCGUUGGUUCUGGCCGUUCCGGCCCAGGAGGAGGCGGCCCCAAGCCCGGGCGUUCGCGCCCGCCGCGAUCCGCUCCGAGGACAGUAUCAGGUGGGGAGUUUGACUGGGGCGGUACAUCUGUCAAAUGAUAACGCAGGUGUCCUAAGGCCAGCUCAGCGUGGACAGAAACCUCGCGUAGAGCAAAAGGGCAAAUGCUGGCUUGAUCCCGAUUUUCAGUACGAAUACGGACUGCAAAAGCAGGGCCUAUCGAUCCUUUUGACUUUUACGAGUUUUAAGCAAGAGGUGUCAGAGAAGUUACCACAGGGAUAACUGGUUUGUGGC
rnacentral:rRNA from 1 species